rnacentral:rRNA from 1 species
UAGAGUUUGAUCCUGGCUCAGGAUGAACGCUGGCGGCGUGCCUAACACAUGCAAGUCGAACGAAGAGGUCCCUUCGGGGAUACUUCAGUGGCGGACGGGUGAGUAACACGUAGGUGACCUGCCCCGAAGUGUGGAAUAACAGUCCGAAAGGAUUGCUAAUACCGCAUGUGGUCUGUGAGGUUAGAGUCUUGCAGACUAAAACAUACCCGCAAGGGUAAUGCGCUUCGGGAGGGGCCUGCGCCCCAUCAGCUAGUUGGUAGGGUAAUGGCCUACCAAGGCAACAACGGGUAGGGGGCCUGAGAGGGUGACCCCCCACAUUGGCACUGACACACGGGCCAAACUCCUACGGGAGGCAGCAGUGAGGAAUAUUGCUCAAUGGGCGAAAGCCUGAAGCAGCAACGCCGCGUGCGCGAUGAAGGCCUUCGGGUCGUAAAGCGCUUUUGAGAGGGACGAGAUAGGACGGUACCUCUUGAAUAAGUCACGGCUAACUACGUGCCAGCAGCCCCGGUCAA